AGCGAACGCUGGCGGCAGGCUUAACACAUGCAAGUCGAACGCCCCGCAAGGGGAGUGGCAGACGGGUGAGUAACACGUGGGAACGUACCCUUUGGUUCGGAAUAACUUGGGGAAACUCAAGCUAAUACCGGAUAAGCCCUUAUGGGGAAAGGUUUACUGCCGAAGGAUCGGCCCGCGUCUGAUUAGCUAGUUGGUGAGGUAAUGGCUCACCAAGGCGACGAUCAGUAGCUGGUCUGAGAGGAUGAUCAGCCACACUGGGACUGAGACACGGCCCAGACUCCUACGGGAGGCAGCAGUGGGGAAUAUUGGACAAUGGGGGCAACCCUGAUCCAGCCAUGCCGCGUGAGUGAUGAAGGCCUUAGGGUUGUAAAGCUCUUUUACCCGGGACGAUAAUGACUGUACCGGGAGAAUAAGCCCCGGCUAACUUCGUGCCAGCAGCCGCAGUAA
rnacentral:rRNA from 1 species